GCUGCGCCAACAUCCGCAGCCGGGCUUGGAACCCCGACUAUCUAGAACUGAAAACGCUUUGUUUUUU
rnacentral:sRNA from 1 species